rnacentral:rRNA from 1 species
AACGAACGCUGGCGGCAGGCCUAACACAUGCAAGUCGAACGCCCCGCAAGGGGAGUGGCAGACGGGUGAGUAACGCGUGGGAACCUACCUAGAGGUGCGGAAUAGCCCAGGGAAACUUGGAGUAAUACCGCAUAAGCCCGCAAGGGGAAAGAUUUAUCGCCUUUAGAUGGGCCCGCGUCUGAUUAGCUAGUUGGUGAGGUAAUGGCUCACCAAGGCGACGAUCAGUAGCUGGUUUGAGAGAAUGACCAGCCACACUGGGACUGAGACACGGCCCAGACUCCUACGGGAGGCAGCAGUGGGGAAUCUUGGACAAUGGGGGCAACCCUGAUCCAGCCAUGCCGCGUGAGUGACGAAGGCCUUAGGGUUGUAAAGCUCUUUUGGCGGGGACGAUAAUGACGGUACCCGCAGAAUAAGUCCCGGCUAACUUCGUGCCAGCAGCCGCGGUAAAGUC